UGAUUGAAGGGUCAGCGGCGGUAGUUGU
rnacentral:sRNA from 1 species